rnacentral:lncRNA from 1 species
UUCUAUGUUGAUGUAAGCUACACUACAAACACCGUGCGCGGACAAGCUGAGGUUCACAAACUUUGGUAUUUUUCUUCGUGUACACUCAGCGUGACCUUUAUUAACGAACUGGCAGUGCUUUCUAACCAAGCCGAGCGCUCCCGAACCGCGGGCCGGAGCUGCCCUCACGGCGCAGCCCGGCACACCGCAGCGCUGCACCCCGCUAAUGGCGCCGGCCGCGCCCCCGGAAGCGGCGCCAUUUCCGCGGGCGGUUGCCGGGGGGACGCGGCGCUGGCUCGGCCGCGCUGCUGUGAGGCCGGCCCGGGCGGCUGCCGCGAUGUUCAUCUACCUGUGCAAGAAGGUGCUGCCGGGGCGGCGGAGGGCAGGCGGCUCUCGGGCAGGGGGAGCUGCCCCGGGGAGUCCCAGGGUUGGGGAGCGCGGAGCCCGCGGGGUCUGAGGGGAGCUCGAGGCUCUCCCGGCCGGGCAGGGUGCGGCGCUGGCGGAGCGCUGCCCGCUGUGUCCCGCUGUGUCCCGCUGUGUCCCGCUGUGUCCCGCUGUGUCCCGCUGUGCCCCUCUCUGUCCCGCUGUGCCCUCUCUGUCCCGCUGUGCCCCGCUGUGCCCCGCUGUGUCCCGCUGUGUCCCGCUCUGUCCCGCUGUGCCCCCUCUCUGCCCCGCUGUGCCCCGCUCCUGUCCCGCUGUGUCCCUCUCUGCCCCGCUGUGCCCCUCUCUGUCCCGCUGUGCCCCGCUGUGCCCCGCUGUGCCCCUCUCUGCCCUCUCUGCCCCUCUCUGCCCCGCUGUGUCCCGCUCUGUCCCGCUCUGUCCCGCUCUGCCCCUCUCUGUCCCGCUCUGUCCCGCUGUGCCCCGCUCUGCCCCUCUCUGCCCCGCUGUGUCCCGCUGUGUCCCGCUGUGUCCCGCUGUGCCCUCUCUGCCCUCUCUGCCCCCCUGUGUCCCGCUCUGUCCCGCUCUGCCCCUCUCUGCCCCGCUCUGCCCCGCUCUGUCCCGGGUCCCUCGGCCUGGCCUGGGGCUCCUUCGCUGUCCCGCUGCUCCGCAGUUUUCCCCCCGAUAGGCUUUGGACGCGACUUUUCCGCUGGAGACCGAAGCCCUGCACGCUGUGUGACCCCUGUCGCCUGUUUUGUUGCUCGGCACACCUUUGCAGGUGUCCUGUUAUUAUUUACUGCAUGA